CAUAGCAAGAGGCAUAAAAGAGGAGGAAAAUGAAGCUGGCAACUAUUUUGAAGUCACACCGACAAAAUUUGGCCAUGUUCCUAAACAGUGGAGCUACUUCAUCAAAGGAAAUCUUACUGAUAUGGCCACAAUAGAAAAGACAAAGAAUCACAACUCAUUGAGGUGUUGAAUCCCCUUCCCUGGGAUGCUCAGUCUUCACAAGGAUGCACGCCCAUGAGGAACACAUGCGGUUAAAGCCCUGAGGCAUUUGGUACAUGGUUGGCUCCCAGCUGGCAGUUUUGCAGUCUUCAGUAUCUCCCAUCUCAAUCUGGACUAGCUGAAUGUAAGUGCCCAACGGCCACAUGGGUCCAGUGGCUUCCAUAUCUACAGAGCAGCAAGAACAUCUGGGUUCAACGGUCAACGGCUGGGAGCUGAGAUGGAUGCUAACAUUUUUAAAUUGUUGAAAAAAAAAUACGACAACAAGAAUAACAUUUAUUGACACCUGAAAAUGAUAUGAAAUUCAAAUUUCCGGGUCCUUA